AUUGAACGCUGGCGGCGUGCUUAACACAUGCAAGUCGAGCGGUAACAGGCGUAGCAAUACGUGCUGACGAGCGGCGAACGGGUGAGUAAUGCUUCGGAAUCUUCCUUGUAGUGGGGAAUAACCUGGGGAAACUCAGGCUAAUGCCGCAUACGAACCAUGGUUGAAAGCGGGGGAUCGCAAGACCUCGCGCUAUAAGAUGAGCCGAAGUCGGAUUAGCUAGUUGGUGGGGUAAAGGCCUACCAAGGCGACGAUCCGUAGCUGGUCUGAGAGGACGACCAGCCACACUGGGACUGAGACACGGCCCAGACUCCUACGGGAGGCAGCAGUGGGGAAUAUUGGACAAUGGGGGCAACCCUGAUCCAGCGACGCCGCGUGUGUGAAGAAGGCCUGCGGGUUGUAGAGCACUUUUAGUGGGGACAAAAGGCCGAGGGCUAAUACCUUUCGGUCUUGAUUUAACCCAAAGAAAAAGCACCGGCUAACUCUGUGCCAGCAGCCGCCGUAACAC
rnacentral:rRNA from 1 species